rnacentral:lncRNA from 1 species
AAGAGUAAGGGUGAGUCUUCAGAUGCUUACCCAGCGAGAAGAAGAUGAGAUGACGCCACGACGUGAAGAAUCACAGCGGUGGUGGUGGUGGUGGUGGAGGUGGUGGUGGAGGGAGAAGAGUUGAGAAAGAGAGAGAGAGAGAGAGAUGGAGUUUUGGUUGCGGUGGUGAGGGUGAGAAAGAGAGAUCGAGUUUUAGGUUGUGUUUUUUUUGCUGAAUUCUAAGUCAUUUUAGUAGUAAUGGAGAAGAUGAGAAGAAGAUGAGAACAGAUGAAGAAGAUGAGAAGAAGAUGAGAAGAAGAUGCUUACCCAGCGAGAAGAAGACGAGAAGAAUCACAGCAGUGGUGGUGGUGGUGGUGGUGGGUAGUAGUGGUGGUGAAGAAAGAGAGAUCGAGUUUUAGGUUGCGGUGGUGAGGGUGAGAAAGAGAGAUCGAGUUUUUUGCGGUGGUGAGGGUGAGAAAGAGAGAUCGAGUGAGGUUGCGGCCGCCAUUAGAGAGAGAGAGAGAUCGAGUUUUAGGUUUGUUUUUUUUUUUAUGUUAUAUAGUGUGGCGAAAAAUGUUGGCGAAUUCGCGGUGAAUAAAAAAACACCUAUUCGGGUGGGCGAAAAAAUGGUCGAUUCGCCGAGUUUUUUUGGUGAAUGAGUGUAUUUUGACAAAAAAAUCCGGUGUAUAAAUAAUUUACUCCAAAUACGCCAAAUUCACCGAGUCUUUAUCAAACAUCAAGAAUACCGGUGAAACGCGGCGAAUCACCCAUUCACCACGGCGAAUCGGUUAUCAAACAGGGCCUACAUUCUUUAGAAACGUGGAACAAAUUCACACUCCAUAUUGAGGUGUCCAUAUCAUAGUACAAAAUAUCGUUAUCGACUAAUGUAUCGAUCUCCAAAAAAUAGAUAUAUCGGG